rnacentral:lncRNA from 1 species
AAACGCUCCCGGGUGAUCCAAAACCCGAUUCGAACAUACGCCCAAGUCCGAAAUCAUCAUACGAACCUAUUGGAACCGUCAAAUUCCGAUUCCGGGGUCCUUUUCUCAAAAUGUUGACCGAAGUCAAACUUGGCCUUUUAAGGCUAACUUAAGGAACCAAGUGUUUCGAUUUCAACCCACAACCAUCAAGAAUGGUAAAGGGCACUCAAAAGUAGCUCAGAUAUUCUGGUUGAUGUAUGUUGAAGCAGUCCAUGCCAUUUGGACGGAGAGAAACCAAAGGAUAUUUGAACAAGUCUACUACAGUCCUUCAUGUUCUAGUUUAUGGGGUCAAGUGCUAUAUGGUUAUAAUGGUUUUCUGCUACUCUAUGCUUUCUUAGGGCCUUGUAAUUACCUACUUAGAAGAAAGACAUAGAGUUUGGGUACUUCUAGUAGAUGGAUUAGAUAGCUGGAUGAGUUUGUCUGGGCUAUGACUAUGUAAAUAUUCUCUUGCUGAUUAAUAAAGUUUCUAAUUACCCAAAAAAAAAAAGAGUUCCCCUAUGUCUUGAGAAUUUACGUCAUAUAAAAGGUCCAUGAAUCGAAUAUGCAAGAAAUAUGUGAUCAAUCUGAAGAAACUCAAGUAACUGUAUACAUAAGCAAAACUCAAGUAGGCAACACAAGUAGUAUUCAGCGCUGCCAAGAAGAAGAAUAUGAAAAGAUCCAUGAAUCAAGCCCGCGAACAAUAUGUUUGAAGCAACUAGAACUUGAAGCUUCCAAUAAGAGGAAUUGUUGGAAAGAUUACCAGCUGACUCUCCCUAGGCAAGCUUUCUGUCACAGCCUUCCAACCGAAAAACACCAGGAGAACUGUAUGCCACCUACCCCGACACCUAGCUCCCUGUACUGAAGAUAUAACAAAUAACAUGUUACCACACAGAAAGAAAUUUACAUUAUUCUGUAGCUACUUCUAAAUGAUAUUCUAUUCUUGCUGAAAGACUCAAUAAUGUUUCCUGCAAAACAUAAUAUAACGAGGCAUACUAAGAAAAUUCACAAUCUUUCUCAAAAAAUAGCAGAAUUCUGACAACUUUUGAAACUUCAGAUGCCAAGUCCUAAAAUCAGACAGUCAUUAUUUCAUCAAUCAAAGCUCAAACAUGUCAGUCAUACAUGUCCUUCUAAGCAUGAUCCCUUUAUUAAUGAAAGGCUCAAGUAUGGAACUGUUCCGAUAGACAACUAAUCCAUGUUCACACAUGUCCAACCAGUCUGUCAUUUGAAAUGAUCCUUUUUUCAACUGAAUACUGCUCUUAUGAGCUUUUUUAUCAUCCAAACAUUUCCACUGUUUGCUUCAAUAUUAAUUACAGCUUAAAGAGUUUUAAUACUGAAACUUUAGGCAGACAGAUAGUGCACAACCCCAAAAAUCCAUGUCGAUUCCAAUCAGUCUGAGAGUGCUUCUUUGACAGAACACAACUGACUACAGAAGUUGAGUGUUUGGUCUAAGCUUGUGAGUAUCUUUAUUUCAAAGUUAGUUGCUGUAUCAAUUGACUCAAGAAAUCAAAUUGAAAUUACCACUUAUGCUUUUUUCCUUGUCCUGUUCUAGAUUUAAUUGAGUUAAAAUAGUUAGAAGGCCUGUCUACCACCAGCCCAGUUCCCUUCCCUUUCUUUCCUCUGCUUAGAAGAGCUGUUGGAUUGCAUACAGAGCCUCAAAACAGGGCUCAGAAACAGCUUCUAUUUGACCCAAGAUUCCAAGUCCUACUUUCUCUUCCUUGACUAGUCGUGACAAUACCUCAAGUAAUGUGUUCAGAAUCAAGCCGUUUCAAUCGUCAAUCUCAUUGCCAAAUUCAUUGGUGAAAAACUCCAUUUGAUGCAACAAACAAAGAGGAACCAAGAAAAACAGUGAAGAAUUCUAGCCUAACAGUAGUAAAAAGAAAUGGAGACUACAAGAUUCCUGUUGAAGUGUAAACAGCUUUAGGGAGGAAGCUUAAUCUAAUAACCAAUAAAGAAAUUCAAAAGAACAGCUACAGUGAAGACCAAGGACCAGUAAAACAUUGGAAACAAUGUCAAAGCAGACAGUAGACUACACAAUAUAACAUCAUUUGCCAUGAAAAUACAAGAAUAUAUCACGUUAUGAUCAUAAGUUCAUAACAUCCAACCAAAGGCCACACAGCAAAAGCG